rnacentral:rRNA from 1 species
CCUACGGGAGGCAGCAGUGAGGAAUAUUGGUCAAUGGACGAGAGUCUGAACCAGCCAAGUAGCGUGAAGGAUGACUGCCCUAUGGGUUGUAAACUUCUUUUAUAAAGGAAUAAAACGAGGCACGUGUGCCUUUUUGCAUGUACUUUAUGAAUAAGGAUCGGCUAACUCCGUGCCAGCAGCCGCGGUAAUACGGAGGAUCCGAGCGUUAUCCGGAUUUAUUGGGUUUAAAGGGAGCGUAGAUGGGUUGUUAAGUCAGUUGUGAAAGGUUGCGGCUCAACCGUAAAAUUGCAAUUGAUACUGGCAGUCUUGAGUACAGUUGAGGUAGGCGGAAUGCGGGGUGUAGCGGUGAAAUGCUUAGAUAUCACGAAGAACCCCGAUUGCGAAGGCAGCUUACUAAACUGUGACUGACAUUGAGGCUCGAAAGUGUGGGUAUCAAACAGGAUUAGAUACCCUAGUAGUC